GACGAACGCUGGCGGCGUGCUUAACACAUGCAAGUCGAACGGAAAGGCCCUGCUUUUGUGGGGUGCUCGAGUGGCGAACGGGUGAGUAACACGUGAGUAACCUGCCCUUGACUUUGGGAUAACUUCAGGAAACUGGGGCUAAUACCGGAUAGGAGCCCCUGCUGCAUGGUGGGGGUUGGAAAGUUUCGGCGGUUGGGGAUGGACUCGCGGCUUAUCAGCUUGUUGGUGGGGUAGUGGCUUACUAAGGCUUUGACGGGUAGCCGGCCUGAGAGGGUGACCGGCCACAUUGGGACUGAGAUACGGCCCAGACUCCUACGGGAGGCAGCAGUGGGGAAUAUUGCACAAUGGGCGGAAGCCUGAUGCAGCAACGCCGCGUGCGGGAUGACGGCCUUCGGGUUGUAAACCGCUUUCGCCUGUGACGAAGCGUGAGUGACGGUAAUGGGUAAAGAAGCACCGGCUAACUACGUG
rnacentral:rRNA from 1 species